rnacentral:rRNA from 1 species
GACGAACGCUGGCGGCGUGCCUAAUACAUGCAAGUUGAGCGAUGAAGAUUGGUGCUUGCACCAAUUUGAAGAGCAGCGAACGGGUGAGUAACGCGUGGGGAAUCUGCCUUUGAGCGGGGGACAACAUUUGGAAACGAAUGCUAAUACCGCAUAACAACUUUAAACAUAAGUUUUAAGUUUGAAAGAUGCAAUUGCAUCACUCAAAGAUGAUCCCGCGUUGUAUUAGCUAGUUGGUGAGGUAAAGGCUCACCAAGGCGAUGAUACAUAGCCGACCUGAGAGGGGGAUCGGCCACAUUGGGACUGAGACACGGCCCAAACUCCUACGGGAGGCAGCAGUAGGGAAUCUUCGGCAAUGGACGAAAGUCUGACCGAGCAACGCCGCGUGAGUGAAGAAGGUUUUCGGAUCGUAAAACUCUGUUGGUAGAGAAGAACGUUGGUGAGAGUGGAAAGCUCAUCAAGUGACGGUAACUACCCAGAAAGGGACGGCUAACUACG